GGGAGGCGUUAGGAACGGCUGUUUCCUCCAAAGGCAGCGAAUGGGACGGCGGAUUAGGAGGGUGUGGUCUAUCGGCUACAGCCAGCGGGAGAGAGCUGCCAGAUUUAACAGGUUUGGAGUAGAGUGCAGAAAUCCAUUUCAUGAAGCACCCUGUGGUAGUAGAUAAGGAGCCCAUAUUAUACAGGAGGUGCACACUUGGCAUCACCAACUUGAUGGACAUGAGUUUGAGCAGGCUCUGGGAGAUGGUGGACAGGGAAGCCUGGCGUGCUGCAGUCCAUUGGGUCGCAAAGAGUCGGACACAACUGAGUGACUGAGCACACACUUGGAGCUGGGAGAGAGGCACCGCCAAGCUCCUUCCCCAGGAACUACACUCAGCAUUUGAGCAUCCAUCCACCACGGCUUUGAACUUUGAGCAUCUGUGCCUUAGCUGGAUUUAUUCUGUGCCUCCAUUAGCAAGGUGUGUCCUAAAUAAAUUGCUUCCUCACUUCA
ensembl:lncRNA